GUUGAAACACCAGUUCCUGUACCAUCACAGAAGUUAAGCCACAUUAAGCCUGGUCAAUACCUAGAUGAGUGACCACUUGGGAAUAACAGAUGUUGUAA